CGGAGGGUGCUAAGCGUUAUCCGGAUUUAUUGGGUUUAAAGGGUCCGUAGGCGGAUCCGUAAGUCAGUGGUGAAAUCUCACAGCUUAACUGUGAAACUGCCAUUGAUACUGCGGGUCUUGAGUAAGGUAGAAGUGGCUGGAAUAAGUAGUGUAGCGGUGAAAUGCAUAGAUAUUACUUAGAACACCAAUUGCGAAGGCAGGUCACUAUGUCUUAACUGACGCUGAUGGACGAAAGCGUGGGGAGCGAACAGGAUUAGAUACCCUGGUAGUCCACGCCGUAAACGAUGCUAACUCGUUUUUGGGCUUCGGGUUCAGAGACUAAGCGAAAGUGAUAAGUUAGCCACCUGGGGAGUACGUUCGCAAGAAUG
rnacentral:rRNA from 1 species